UGCGAGUGAGAGGGAAAGCUCAAAUUUAAAAUCUGAUAGUCUCUGGCUGUCCGAGUUGUAAUUUAGAGAAGUGUUACCCGUGCUGGACCGUGUAUAAGUCUCCUGGAAUGGAGCGUCAUAGAGGGUGAGAAUCCCGUCUUUGACACGGACUCCCAGUGCAUUGUGGUGCGCUCUCGAAGAGUCGAGUUGUUUGGGAAUGCAGCUCUAAAUGGGUGGUAAAUUCCAUCUAAAGCUAAAUAUUGGCGAGAGACCGAUAGCGAACAAGUACCGUGAGGGAAAGAUGAAAAGAACUUUGGAAAGAGAGUUAAACAGUACGUGAAAUUGCUGAAAGGGAAACGCUUGAAGUCAGUCGCGUUGGCUAGGGAUCAACCUUGCUUUAGUGAGGCGUACUUCCUAGUUGACGGGUCAGCAUCAGUUUCGAUCACUGGAAAAAGGCUUGGGGAAUGUGGCAUCUCCGGAUGUGUUAUAGCCCCUUGUCGUAUACAGUGGUUGGGACUGAGGAACUCAGCACGCCGCAAGGCCGGGUUUCGACCACGUUCGUGCUUAGGAUGCUGGCAUAAUGGCUUUAAGCGACCC
rnacentral:rRNA from 1 species